CAAAGGCGAGGACGCCAAAGGACAUGAACUUACGGAUAAGGGUCAGGAGCGCCAGGAGGCGAAGACGCGGAUCUGUCAGGAUGACAAACGUCAGGAGACGUUUUAACAGGGAAAAGGAUUGUAACAAGGAACGUUCCACGCCAAAGGACAGACAGGGCGAGUUGCAGGCAAACACGGACAGUUGAACCCGUUUCGGGUGGAGAGUUAAGAAAAAAGGCGACAGAUUACUCUGUCGCCUUUUUUCUUUGCUUGCUU
rnacentral:sRNA from 1 species